rnacentral:lncRNA from 10 species
AGCCAGGCCCCUUUAGAGCUCUCAUUGUCCUGCUGCUGGGUCUGCUCUCUCCAGGCAAUCCUCCCCAGCGGAGCGCCAGGACUCCUCGGUCCAGAGAAGCCAAGCUUGCAGCUACAGGAUCUAUCCUUUGAGUGGAAGGACCAGAAAUCCAUGGAAAACUGAAUCUUUGACAACUUUACGCAGCUUUUUAGAGAAUUAUCUCUAAAAUAUGGACUUGGAGGAGGGCGCAGCAGAAAGAGUGGGUCAGAGCAAAUCCCGCAGCUGUGUGUCUUUCCGCAGCCCGGACCCACUCCCCAGUCCGCUGGUGUCCACUUCCUCAGCCCCCCAGGUCCCCGGCUGGCCCGCGGGGAGGGGAUACCCGGCUGCAGCCCGGGACGGCGCCGGCCGCUCCAGCCACAGUUCAAAGCGCAGGGGGCGCGUCCGCCGCGCAGCCGGGAAUGUCCGGCCGCUUAAAGCGCUCGCCGGCUCUUUUGUUCCCCAGACCGGGCCUCCGG